GUGUUACUGUCACCGAGAGGUCUGUGCAGGAGGGCGAGACGUUCAUCUUCCAUCUGCCGAAUAUAGAGUCUGGCAGAUCAGUCGAAUGGAAACAGAUGAAUAAACUGCUGGCCAUCAUUAGCCUGGACAACAACACAGUAAUAUUUCAGCAGGGACGCAGACAUCAGUUCAUGCAGAAUGGGUCAGUCGUCAUCAGAGAUGUCAAACAGGAAGACACCGGCAACUACACUUACAAUAUCAUAUUCAAAGACAAAAAAAUUCAAAGCCACAUCCUCUCACUUACCCUGUACUCAGAAACUACAGAACAGAGCCCUACUUAUAACUCCACAUUCAUUACAUCAGACUGGGGGAGGAAACUGGAGUACCCGGAGGAAACCUCCAAAGCAGGAGGAGAACACGCAAGCUCUGCACACAC
ensembl:lncRNA